GUGCCAGCACCCGCGGUAAUACGUAGGUGGCAAGCGUUGUCCGGAUUUACUGGGCGUAAAGGAUGCGUAGGCGGAUAUUUAAGUGAGAUGUGAAAUCCCCGAGCUUAACUUGGGAGCUGCAUUUCAAACUGGAUAUCUAGAGUGCGGGAGAGGAGAAUGGAAUUCCUAGUGUAGCGGUGAAAUGCGUAGAGAUUAGGAAGAACACCAGUGGCGAAGGCGAUUCUCUGGACCGUAACUGACGCUGAGGCAUGAAAGCGUGGGUAGCAAACAGGAUUAGAUACCCCGGUAGUCCA
rnacentral:rRNA from 1 species